GACGAACGCUGGCGGCGUGCUUAACACAUGCAAGUCGAACGGAAAGGCCCUGCUUUUGUGGGGUGCUCGAGUGGCGAACGGGUGAGUAACACGUGAGUAACCUGCCCUUGACUUUGGGAUAACUUCAGGAAACUGGGGCUAAUACCGGAUAGGAGCUCCUGCUGCAUGGUGGGGGUUGGAAAGUUUCGGCGGUUGGGGAUGGACUCGCGGCUUAUCAGCUUGUUGGUGGGGUAGUGGCUUACCAAGGCUUUGACGGGUAGCCGGCCUGAGAGGGUGACCGGCCACAUUGGGACUGAGAUACGGCCCAGACUCCUACGGGAGGCAGCAGUGGGGAAUAUUGCACAAUGGGCGGAAGCCUUAUGCAGCAACGCCGCGUGCGGGAUGACGGCCUUCGGGUUGUAAACCGCUUUCGCCUGUGACGAAGCGUGAGUGACGGUAAUGGGUAAAGAAGCACCGGCUAACUGCGUG
rnacentral:rRNA from 1 species